AUGCCUCUGGCGGCUGGCGCUCCCCUGUCUGCUGGCCCGCCCGCUCGCCCAGCGAGGCUUUCCCGAACGCCCGCCCACGGGGUCUGCUCCACGGUGGCUGUGCCUGGGAUUCGGCAAUGCCUAGGCGAGGUUCGCCAUGAAAUGCCCGUGGACGUGCAGGCGCGGGCUGGGGCGGACAAGCAACCUGGCCGGUGGUGCAGACGCGCGCGCGGAGCGGGCAGGUCGCGCAGGCGCAGCUUCUUCCGCGUGCCUUCACCAGCCUUGUGUUGGUGGGAUCGGUGUGUUUUUAAUGCAGAUUGGCAGACAGCUGGAGGAUAACAGACCAGUAUACAUAGAGUGGGGUGUGACUUUCCAUUGAGUCGCAGGAGGCUCCUUUCCUCAGUCCAUUGCUACAAACCAACCAGAUUAGAACUCCGUCUUCAACUGAGAAUCCAGAGUGGAGCCCAGAACUAGGCUGAGCUGAAUCGUUCAGACUGAGCUGCCCCCGAAAGCCAGAAGAGCUUGUCCACCUUGGCAGCAUGUAUCUGUUACAGGAUACUCACCAGUAAUUUUGUUAGCAUCUUGCCUCGCCAGGGACAGAAUGGCCCUCCUGGGGUGGUGUGACUGGUAGAUGGGGUGGGGACUCCAGUAUUGAUACUUUUCUCUCUAAAAGGCAGAGACUUGGGGUUGAAGAGUAAGCAGACAUGGGGGAGUGGGGGAUGAUUGUGGGGAGAGGGAGACAUCAUUUCUCAUAAGGCGGUUACUCCUCAGUUUAUCUAAAGCUCCAGUGUGUUGGAUCUGGCAGCCUGUUGCAGCAUUGGGUAGUCUAGCUGGAGAGGGAGCUUAUGGAGAGGGAGUCUACCCGUCAGCAUUCAUCCCACCACUGCUGGUAGUGGGAAAGCCAAAGUUACAUUUUAAAUUUUAAUUACUGUGCCUAUCCAUGGAACAAAAAUGUCUCUGCUCUGCGAGACCCUUGCCCAAGGACAGAGAGUUCCUGAAAUGUCCCAAGCUGUUGUUUAUGGGAGAUAACAAGAUGCCUGCUUUCACUCUCCUUAACAAGUUUGUUUGAGCCAGCUCACUGGAUAUGCUGAUCGCAUGUGGGAGGGAGGUCCACAGGCAGGAAGUACGUCAGGAUGUAUGCUUGCCCCUGAUUGGAUAUAGGCCGGAAGUAGAUCAGGAUGUAUGCUUGCCCCUGAUUGGAUGUAGGCUGGAAGUAGAUCAGGAUGCAUGCUUGCCCCUGAUUGGAUGUAGGCUGGAAGUAGAUCAGGAUGCAUGCUUGCCCCUGGUUGGAUGUAGGCUGGAAG